AAGGUCGUUGGCGGUAUGCCUUACCCUGCACUUCGUACCAAGGUAGCCGUAAGGGUGCUGUCGAGUGGCGAACGGGUGAGUAAUACAUCGGAACGUGCCCGAUCGUGGGGGAUAACGAGGCGAAAGCUUUGCUAAUACCGCAUACGAUCUACGGAUGAAAGCGGGGGAUCUUCGGACCUCGCGCGGACGGAGCGGCCGAUGGCAGAUUAGGUAGUUGGUGGGAUAAAAGCUUACCAAGCCGACGAUCUGUAGCUGGUCUGAGAGGAUGAUCAGCCACACUGGGACUGAGACACGGCCCAGACUCCUACGGGAGGCAGCAGUGGGGAAUUUUGGACAAUGGGCGAAAGCCUGAUCCAGCCAUGCCGCGUGCGGGAUGAAGGCCUUCGGGUUGUAAACUGCUUUUGUACGGAACGAAAGCCUCUUUCUAAUAAAGAGGGGUCUGAGGACCGAA
rnacentral:rRNA from 1 species